AAAUAUAAGUGCAUACUCCUCUCGUUGUUGGUUAAAAGUUCAAAACUCAUACACAAAUUCUUAAAUUGCUGCUGCUUAAUUCUGUUUCCGACUACGAAGAGUUUCCAGUUUCCUCUCACUUGCUCAGACACAAAGAGAGAGACAGAGAUGCAUCAUCAUUGUUAAAAAGGUAAGAGUAGCCUCAUCUGCUCAUUUGAUUUCCUCUGUUAAACUAGUACUAGUGUGUUAGAAGACUUAUUUUAUGUAGUUUGGAAACAUUUCAAAUGACCAUGUUUUAAAAAUCCAGCUCGUUUAUGUGGGUGUUAUUCGUUAAGAUGGAGUACUUGGAAAUGUUGGUGUCUAGAUUUGAUAGAUCUUUUAUAUUUGGGUUCAAAAAAUGUUUAUAAAUAUUAUUUGUUAGGAAAUGGUAGAAAGUACGUUAAAAAUUGGUUUCGAUAACGAUUGUUAGUUUUGAUUGAGAAGAAAAUAAUAGUAAUUGAACUUUUUUGGUGUUAUCUGUCUGAAAUCUUUUUUUUUUGUUAUUGAUUGUGGGUUUAUUUGAUGAAGGAUGGAGAAACAGAUGGAAAAAGGGAUUGACUGUGUAGAGAGAGGGCUGUGAAACGACCGAAGCUUUAAACGUGUAGUAGUGUCGAUAUACGUUGUUCGUCUUCUGCUUAAAAUGGGGCGACAGUAAAGAAUCUCUAUCUAUUGCUUUACUAAAGAAUCUCUAUGUAUAGAUGAAUGUCUAGGGUACUUGUGUGUGUGUGUGUUUUAUUAUUAGAUGCUUAGAUGUAUGUGUAGGGUGUUUUGUGUGUGUUUGAGAGAGAGAGAGAGAUAUUACAUACUUAGAUGUAUGUGUAGGGUGCAAACGUAGCGACGAAUACUGAAACCCAUCCCCCUUCUCCCCUCUCCCUUCUCCCCUCUCCUCUCCUCCCCCCAACGCAAAUGCAAAGAGCAAACAUAUAGUCUACGUUAGUCGAAACACUUCACCAAUAUUAAUACCACGAAAACAAACAAACUAAUCGAAACACAAAACUAAAAACCAGAGCAUCAAACACAAAGAAAAUGUACAUUCAAACAUAUAGUCUUUUACCUCCACACCGGCUGUCGAGUCUACUGUUGAAUAUCAAAACAUAGAAUUUCAAUAAUGGUCUCAACCCCGGCAGUCGAUUUUAAGUUGGCCGUAAAUUUUAUUGCUGUAUUAUUUUGACGAAAUUAUGAUAAAUUACAAAGCUGAAUAUCAAAACUAAUUAUCGUAGGUGCAAAAAAAGAAAAAGAAAAAAGCUAAUUUUCGUUCAAAAUAACUAAAACAUAAAAUUAUAUAUAUCAUUCAUAUCUUUAGUUUUUAUAAAUUUACUUGUCACUAAACACUAUAAGUUUCUAAGAGAAUAUAUAAAAAAUCGGCCACUGUUGUAAAUGCACAUAAACUUUGUCAACAACCGAAAUAGAACACGAUAAAGAAUGAGACAUGUUAUUUGCGUCCUUUAACUUUAGUUUUGUUUCCGUGAUCGGUCCGUAACUUCGUUUCAAUGUUACACACACACGCACACACAAUUAUUACAUUGACGUUGUGUAGAAAUGGACUUCACAUAUACUGAACAAUAAUCUCUUUUUGUUUGACCUUUUUUUUUGGAUAAACAUAUUUCAUUCCAUGAUCUCAUAUGUCUCCCACUUAAUAAUCUAUAUAUAUACUGUAUUUUUAAAUAUAA
rnacentral:lncRNA from 1 species